rnacentral:rRNA from 1 species
GACGAACGCUGGCGGCGUGCCUAAUACAUGCAAGUCGAGCGGAAGUUGAAGAGCUUGCUCUUCAACUUUAGCGGCGGACGGGUGAGUAACACGUGGGCAACCUGCCCUGCAGAUUGGGAUAACUCCGGGAAACCGGUGCUAAUACCGAAUAGUUUUCGCCACCUCCUGGUGGCGUACGGAAAGACGGUUUCGGCUGUCACUGCAGGAUGGGCCCGCGGCGCAUUAGCUAGUUGGUGGGGUAACGGCCCACCAAGGCAACGAUGCGUAGCCGACCUGAGAGGGUGAUCGGCCACACUGGGACUGAGACACGGCCCAGACUCCUACGGGAGGCAGCAGCAGGGAAUCUUCCGCAAUGGACGAAAGUCUGACGGAGCAACGCCGCGUGAGUGACGAAGGUUUUCGGAUCGUAAAACUCUGUUGUGAGGGAAGAACAAGUACCACUUAACUACUGGUACCUUGACGGUACCUCACCAGAAAGCCACGGCUAACUACGUGCCAGCCGCCGCUGUAAUAC